AUGGGAAUGACGAUACCUUGUGCUCUUGAGACACACUAUGAUGUUUCACGUAUUCAUACUGUCUGACCCAG